rnacentral:snoRNA from 1 species
AUGGGAAUUAUCACCAUUACUAUGACGUUUACGAGAUUGUUGUGGUAAACGAAGCCCAUAGAUCAGAUUUAAUUAUCGACACGUUAUUACAUUUUCAGAUGUAAGAACAGAGUAUGAUGGACAAACUUUAUGUUAAUGUUCAAUUCAUUGUAUUUUGAAGCCGUGUUACAUUU